rnacentral:rRNA from 1 species
UACGUAGGGUGCAAGCGUUGUCCGGAAUUAUUGGGCGUAAAGAGCUCGUAGGCGGUUUGUCGCGUCGGCUGUGAAAACCCGAGGCUCAACCUCGGGCCUGCAGUCGAUACGGGCAAACUAGAGUGUGGUAGGGGAGACUGGAAUUCCUGGUGUAGCGGUGAAAUGCGCAGAUAUCAGGAGGAACACCGGCGGGGAAGGCGGGUCUCUGGGCCAUAACUGACGCUGAGGAGCGAAAGCGUGGGGAGCGAACAGG